GCCAAAAAGAAAAAAAAUCUCAGUUAAAGGUC
rnacentral:piRNA from 1 species